rnacentral:rRNA from 1 species
UCAUCUCCGGGGGUAGAGCACUGUUUCGGCAAGGGGGUCAUCCCGACUUACCAACCCGAUGCAAACUGCGAAUACCGGAGAAUGUUAUCACGGGAGACACACGGCGGGUGCUAACGUCCGUCGUGAAGAGGGAAACAACCCAGACCGCCAGCUAAGGUCCCAAAGUCAUGGUUAAGUGGGAAACGAUGUGGGAAGGCCCAGACAGCCAGGAUGUUGGCUUAGAAGCAGCCAUCAUUUAAAGAAAGCGUAAUAGCUCACUGGUCGAGUCGGCCUGCGCGGAAGAUGUAACGGGGCUAAACCAUGCACCGAAGCUGCGGCAGCGACGCUUAUGCGUUGUUGGGUAGGGGAGCGUUCUGUAAGCCUGCGAAGGUGUACUGUGAGGUAUGCUGGAGGUAUCAGAAGUGCGAAUGCUGAUAUAAGUAACGAUAAAGCGGGUGAAAAGCCCGCUCGCCGGAAGACCAAGGGUUCCUGUCCAACGUUAAUCGGGGCAGGGUGAGUCGACCCCUAAGGCGAGGCCGAAAGGCGUAGUCGAUGGGAAACAGGUUAAUAUUCCUGUACUUGGUGUUACUGCGAAGGGGGGACGGAGAAGGCUAUGUUGGCCGGGCGACGGUUGUCCCGGUUUAAGCGUGUAGGCUGGUUUUCCAGGCAAAUCCGGAAAAUCAAGGCUGAGGCGUGAUGACGAGGCACUACGGUGCUGAAGCAACAAAUGCCCUGCUUCCAGGAAAAGCCUCUAAGCAUCAGGUAACAUCAAAUCGUACCCCAAACCGACACAGGUGGUCAGGUAGAGAAUACCAAGGCGCUUGAGAGAACUCGGGUGAAGGAACUAGGCAAAAUGGUGCCGUAACUUCGGGAGAAGGCACGCUGAUAUGUAGGUGAAGCGCCUUGCUGGUGGAGCUGAAAUCAGUCGAAGAUACCAGCUGGCUGCAACUGUUUAUUAAAAACACAGCACUGUGCAAACACGAAAGUGGACGUAUACGGUGUGACGCCUGCCCGGUGCCGGAAGGUUAAUUGAUGGGGUUAGCGGUAACGCGAAGCUCUUGAUCGAAGCCCCGGUAAACGGCGGCCGUAACUAUAACGGUCCUAAGGUAGCGAAAUUCCUUGUCGGGUAAGUUCCGACCUGCACGAAUGGCGUAAUGAUGGCCAGGCUGUCUCCACCCGAGACUCAGUGAAAUUGAACUCGCUGUGAAGAUGCAGUGUACCCGCGGCAAGACGGAAAGACCCCGUGAACCUUUACUAUAGCUUGACACUGAACAUUGAGCCUUGAUGUGUAGGAUAGGUGGGAGGCUUUGAAGUGUGGACGCCAGUCUGCAUGGAGCCGACCUUGAAAUACCACCCUUUAAUGUUUGAUGUUCUAACGUUGGCCCCUAAUCGGGGUUGCGGACAGUGUCUGGUGGGUAGUUUGACUGGGGCGGUCUCCUCCUAAAGAGUAACGGAGGAGCACGAAGGUUGGCUAAUCCUGGUCGGACAUCAGGAGGUUAGUGCAAUGGCAUAAGCCAGCUUGACUGCGAGCGUGACGGCGCGAGCAGGUGCGAAAGCAGGUCAUAGUGAUCCGGUGGUUCUGAAUGGAAGGGCCAUCGCUCAACGGAUAAAAGGUACUCCGGGGAUAACAGGCUGAUACCGCCCAAGAGUUCAUAUCGACGGCGGUGUUUGGCACCUCGAUGUCGGCUCAUCACAUCCUGGGGCUGAAGUAGGUCCCAAGGGUAUGGCUGUUCGCCAUUUAAAGUGGUACGCGAGCUGGGUUUAGAACGUCGUGAGACAGUUCGGUCCCUAUCUGCCGUGGGCGCUGGAGAACUGAGGGGGGCUGCUCCUAGUACGAGAGGACCGGAGUGGACGCAUCACUGGUGUUCGGGUUGUCAUGCCAAUGGCACUGCCCGGUAGCUAAAUGCGGAAGAGAUAAGUGCUGAAAGCAUCUAAGCACGAAACUUGCCCCGAGAUGAGUUCUCCCUGACUCCUUGAGAGUCCUGAAGGAACGUUGAAGACGACGACGUUGAUAGGCCGGGUGUGUAAGCGCAGCGAUGCGUUGAGCUAACCGGUACUAAUGAACCGUGAGGCUUAACCUU